UACGUAGGUGGCGAGCGUUGUCCGGAUUUAUUGGGCGUAAAGCGCGCGCAGGUGGUGCGGUAAGUCUGCCGUGAAAUCUCCCGGCUCAACUGGGAGGGGGCGGUGGAGACUGCCGGACUAGAGGGACGCAGAGGCCGGUGGAAUUCCCGGUGUAGUGGUGAAAUGCGUAGAUAUUGGGAAGAACACCGGUGGCGAAGGCGGCGACCUGGUCCUUGACUGACGCUGAGGCGCGAAAGCGUGGGGAGCAAACAGG
rnacentral:rRNA from 1 species